AAAACAUGACUUUGGUCUCCGUCCUCAUCUGGACUCUCCUCUGCUGCUGCUUCACAGAGUCCAGAGGCCAGAUCACAGUGACUCAGCCUGGAGCAGUGAGCUCUGCUCUGGGAGCCUCCGUCUCCAUCAGCUGUAGGGUCAGUCAGGAGGUUGAUGGAGAUUUAUUAGCCUGGUACCAAAAAAGAGAUGGAGAAGCUCCUAAACUGCUCAUUUACUUUGCUAGCACUCGAGAAUCAGGGAUUCCAGGUCGUUUUUCAGGCAGUGGAUCAGAGACUGACUUCACUCUGACCAUCAGUGGAGUUCAGGCUGAAGAUGCAGCAGUUUACUACUGUCAGAGUUAUCAUGAUAUCAACAGUCAGGAUGUGUUCACACAGUGA